CAUAGUGUGCUCUGGAAACUGUCUGACUUGAGUGCAGAAGGGGAGAGUGGAAUUCCAUGUGUAGCGGUGAAAUGCGUAGAUAUAUGGAGGANCACCAGUGGCGAAAGCGGCUCUCUGGUCUGUCACUGACGCUGAGGCUCGAAAGCGUGGGUAGCGAACAGGAUUAGAUACCCUGGUAGUCCACGCCGUAAACGAUGAGUGCUAGGUGUUAGGCCCUUUCCGGGGCUUAGUGCCGGAGCUAACGCAAUAAGCACUCCGCCUGGGGAGUACGACCGCAAGGUUGAAACUCAAAGGAAUUGACGGGGGCCCGCACAAGCGGUGGAGCAUGUGGUUUAAUUCGAAGCAACGCGAAGAACCUUACCAGGUCUUGACAUCCCGAUGCUAUUCUUAGAGAUAGGAAGUUACUUCGGUACAUCGGAGACAGGUGGUGCAUGGUUGUCGUCAGCUCGUGUCGUGAGAUGUUGGGUUAAAUCCCGCAACGAGCGCAACCCUUAUUGUUAGUUGCCAUCAUUAAGUUGGGCACUCUAGCGAGACUGCCGGUAAUAAACCGGAGGAAGGUGGGGAUGACGUCAAAUCAUCAUGCCCCUUAUGACCUGGGCUACACACGUGCUACAAUGGUCGGUACAACGAGUUGCGAGCCGGUGACGGCAAGCUAAUCUCUGAAAGCCGAUCUCAGUUCGGAUUGGAGGCUGCAACUCGCCUCCAUGAAGUCGGAAUCGCUAGUAAUCGCGGAUCAGCACGCCGCGGUGAAUACGUUCCCGGGCCUUGUACACACCGCCCGUCACACCACGAGAGUUUGUAACACCCGAAGUCGGUGAGGUAACCUUUUAGGGGCCAGCCGC
rnacentral:rRNA from 1 species